AGUUCAAGUAUUCAAGUUUGUUCUUGAUCGUGGAGAGGGUAAUGGCCGAAAAUUGUUUUGAUGAUAAAUAAUGCAUUUUAGUGUUAGUUAUUAUGGCUUUUCUUUGUCCUGUCAGAAUACGGCGAGGAAAGAAGAAGAAAAGCGGUGGAGGAGAAUUAGAAAAGGAUAUGGUGGGCAUGGGCCGCAUCACAGGGAGUGCAUCGAUAGAAACACUCGUUAGAGUGGGCAUCGAAAAGGAGAAUGGGCUCUCGCCGGACAGCAAAAUGGUGGUGCUCCAUGACUUCACGCCAUGCGUCGAUGAUGAGCUUGAAGUCAAACGCGGCCAGGUUGUGAACAUAUUGUACAGAGAAAACGACUGGGUGUACGUGAUAGCAGCUGAUAGCAGACAGGAAGGAUUCAUCCCUCACUCUUACUGUACGCCCUACAACACUCCGCUUGGCGAGUUGGCCAUGAACAAUGUCAAGAAGAAGCUGCCUCGCGAGAGGCACAACACCUCCACUGCAACCGAAGUCGAGGUCGACAUCAACACCGACGCUAGAGCUGGAGAUGUAUCUGACUGUGAAAGCUAUGGUAAGAAUGCAGCAACUGGGGGUCCACAGCAAACAUUGAAUAUAGCCAGUUCGCAAGCCUCUCUUCACAGUGCUUCCUCGUUACAACCCGAUGUGCAUCCAUUUUUCAAGGAUCCUUCAGGGAGGUUUAUAGUUCUGUACACAUUUAUCGCGGGCGACGAGAAUGAUGUGAGCGUGGAGCGAGGUGAGUUUGUGACUGUGCUCAACAGGGAGGACCCCGACUGGUACUGGAUUGUGCGCUCUGACGGCCAGGAGGGCUUUGUGCCCAGUGGAUUUGUCUAUCCUGCUGACGUCAUACAAGGACACCUGAAUCAGAUGAAUAAUAACAAUAACAACAACAACAAUAACAAUAAUCAAAAUGUGAGCUCGAACAAUCAUAACAGUUCUGGCCCCGCCCACCACCUGAAUGCAUCAGCCAAUGACGACCUUCGCUAUCAUGGCACUGAACUGGUCAUGCUUUAUGACUACAAGGCUCAAGCACCAGAUGAUCUGACAGUGAGGCGAGGCGACUGGGUUUAUGCUGAUCUCAGCAAGCAGCCGGUAGAUGGUUGGCUGUGGGUCUAUGCCCCCAAAACUCGUAAAAACGGAUUCAUACCCAAAGCGUACGCCAGGCCUCCAGCUAUGACCAGUCUAUAACAUUCGGCUUGAUGGUUCACAAUGCUGGAAUUUUACACCCGGCAAACCCAAGUGACAACUUAGCAUUAAUUCGUUGAAAAUUCAGUGUAGAGUGUAAAUUGACUCUUCUAUAAUAACUACUGUAAUAUAUAGAUUUAAUUUAAAUUAAUUGUUAUUCGUUAGAUCUAAUAGAGAGCCCGUCCAUAUUGAAUUAAGGGGUGCCUAAAUUUAUGGCUGUGGCAUAUUUAAAAGAUUCCAAUGUUAUCACUUACCAAUAUCUACAUGGAAAUAGGCAUUUUUGUCUUUCAUUAUAUUCCAUCAAUGCUAUGUAUAUAUAUUUUUUUAAUUUCUGAGUGUUUUCUUACUUUGUUAGGAUAAUGAUCAUAUUAAAACUCAUUUUUACAGUAUCAGGAAUAUAUUGUAGAUAUUUCCUGUUGAAAUUUUCUCCUAGUCUCAUAAUGACUUUAAAAUUUUUAGAAAGUUGUACAAUAUUUUGGACAAUUUUGAACUUAUAUUUUGUUUCAUCCCAUAUAAAAUGUAUGUUAUCACUCUUCCGAUUCUUCCAGUAGACACAGAAUGUUGAAUAUUAUUCAGUGAUGUUUGGAAAGUUUGGAAAUGAAUUAUCACUUUUUAUUUUCUUCGAUAUUGGAAAGGGCUGGCUGACGGCUUCCGCUGCUAGGGAACUUCAAUUUCAAUUUCAAUUCUAAUCUUGGAAAGAGUUGAUAAUUACAGAAUUAAUCAAUAGCUGUCCAUGUUAGAUACAGCUAUAAUUAUUAAAAUAAUGAGUACUGCAUUAUAUUGGAAUAUUCUUGUAGAUUAUAUUGAUUACAUUGAAAAUCUUGGAUAAUUUCAAUCGUCUAUUAUCGAAUCUCCAGAAGUAAUGUAGGAGAGUAUCUCUGAAAAUAAGAUGCUUUUUUAUAAGCAAGUAUUGCUCAAAAAUCAAAGCUUUAUCGAACUCUGUAAGGUCUCUCUGUUAGCAUUUGAGAACAAUCAGUUACUAUUUUUUUGUGUUCCAAUGAACUCUUCAUCUAAAAUAUAUUAAAUAUUAUAGUGUUCUGUAUUUUUUCAUUAAAUUAAUGGUAGUUUGAAUCUAGUCUUUUUUUAUUCCGUUAAAUCAUAUUUAAAAAGAAUUUCCAAUUAAAAAAAAAUAUUUAAUUGAAUAUGUUUUAAUUAUUACAAUUAUUUCAUUAUUUUGCUCAUUACUAUUAAUAUAUCUAAUCGGUAUGUGAAUUAGACUCCUUACUCAAGUAGCUAUUCAAGACUUGGUGGUAUAUUUGUAAGCCUUUUUUGUAUUUCUUUUUUACAAAAUGUUAUGUAUAGUAUUAUGUAUUAUAUUGUUUCCUUAAAACUAAGUUUUUAUUUGAACUUUCAGCUUAUAUCUUAUGGAACAGCUAUAAGUAACAGAAAUAACAAUAAGCAACUAAAGCUAUCUCUAACGAAUCUGAGAUAAAAGAUUUUGUUAUAAUGAAAUUGGUAAGGAAUAAUAACUGAUUCAAGCUCUCUCUCUGUUCUAAAUUUGAUGUAUGUCACUAGGUAACAAUUCCAUUUGUAACAGUUUAAUCAAAAAUAUUUUUUCAAAGACUGAUUUUUUUGAAUAUUUUUACGCCAUAAUUAUGUGCCUUAGUAAGUGCCACAAAAAUAUAAAAUGUUGUGAUGAAAAAAUUAGUGCUUUUUCUAUUUUUUUCAAAUAUAGGUAAUAACAUAAUGAUAAUGUCACUGAAUUUAGUUUUACUUCGAGUAAAAAACUGAAUAAUAUAUUCUUUCUUUAUCCCUCAAUUUGAAUCCAUGGAUCUUUAGUACUCAAUUUUAUUUUUUAAAGUUAUUGGUCUGCAUUAAAAAAAUAUCAAAUUCUUUCAAGAAACAAAAGUAUCAGGUUUAUUUGCUAAUAAAUUUCACUAUAAAACAUUUUUUGUAAUUUUGAAGCUUAACAUAACUCAAUCUGUUAUUGCUAGAUAAUUUAAUUCUCCAGACCAACAAAUACUUGAUCUGUUUGACUAUAUUCUUAUAAUCUAGUUGCAUGACAUGAACAUUUCAAAAUUGAUCAACGCAGUGAUAAGAAAAAUAGAAACGCUAUAAUUGUUGCAUGUAGAGCUAAAACCAAUAUUUUAUUACAAGUUAAAACCAAUAUUUUAUUACAAUUAAACUCUACAGUAAUUGAAACCAUCUAGAUCAUAUUUUUCCUGGGUUCUUAUUUUUUACACCUUUUCCAAAUUUAGCAGAUGGCAUUGUAUUCAUGAUUUGGCUGUAGCAUUUUUUUGGAAUUAUCAUAGUUGUUAAUUUGUCUUCCAGAAAUUCGUCCAUUAUUUGUUAACAA
rnacentral:misc_RNA from 1 species